CUCGGACCUGCGCGCGCACUUCCCAAGGCAGCAGCGUCUGCGAGGGCCGUGGGGAAGGGAGCCUCCUGGCCACGCCGCAUGCCGCGAAUUCCUUCUGCUGCCAACAGGAAGGCAGCCCAGCUGGGCAGAUGAGACAUUUCAAUAGACUAUAAUUGCCAGAAAUGCUUUUUGAUGGUUCCCUCUGUGACACAUUUCAAGUCCGGAGCAGCUCCCAGCUGGAGCUCCAGUUCUGCCCUUGCCUGGAGCAGCGGCAUCGGCAUCACUGCCACCUCUGACACCAACACAGGUCUGCACUCCAGGCACCUCCAGCAUACCAUGCAUCGCCUUAGUUAAGGCAACUUGAAAGCUGCCAGUGAAAAAUACUUUGGAUUCCAUUUUAUAGUUUGUUCUCCAUGUGAUUUUUAGCUCCAGGAAUGAAAAUUUUCUGAAUGUAGAAUGUACUAUGGAGUACAUAAGAAUGCUCUCGAACUGCAGAACAGCCUGGAGUAUCAACAUUACCCUAAGAAUUCUAUGCAAAAAUACAAGUGCAUUCAAAAGACAGCACUUUUUUCAAAGCUGGGGUCAUAAGGAAAGAAGAUGAGAAGGAAAUUGUCACUUCAGCUCUGUGUUUGCAUACAUUUUCUAUUUCAGCUUGGGAAAUAUCUGCAGAAGGAAAAUGUUAAAACGUUGUUGGAUUAAGACUGCAAUUCUAAGCACACCUACUAUGGAGAAAGUCAAACUGAAUGAAAUGGGAUUUACUUAAUAGGGAAGGAGAUGAAGGCGGGGGUGCCUUUUCCAAUCUUGUUCCUGGGACCACUCCAGCCUUCUGCUGAGUCAAACCUUUCGUCCAUCUACCUUCCGUCCAUCACUCAGUCACAACGUUCACUCAGUCUACUCUGACUGGCAGUAGUAGCUCUCCAAGGUUCCAGUCACGAGUCCUUCCCAGCCCGACUUAGAGAGGCUGCCACAGACUGCACCUGGGACCUUCUGCAUGCAAAGCCGACAAUCCAUGAUCUUUUCACUCGUUCCAGUCUUAAUUGUACUGUACACAUUUUUAAAGUGAACAUGGGUACCUAAUAUGUGAACAUUUCUACUGACAUAUACUGUACAAAGAUUGCGCAUGCAGUGAUUAGGACUCUUGAGAUCUGAGGAUCUUCACAAGUGCACUAACAAGUGUUUGGGAGCCCCCCCCCCAAUUUUUUUCGGCACCUGCUAUGCUGCAAAAUAAAAGAUGAUUGCACACAGUCCCAUUCAGACCUUUAUGCCACUGCUGGGAAGGAGGUCAAGACCUUGCGUUUUGCCCUGGUUCUUCCUUUAUAUGGUUCAGACUUGUGCAACAAUAGAAUUUCCUAAUAAAUAAAUAUGAGGACGACAUUUUGGCUGUAAUUCUAAGCAUGCAUACUUGCUAUUAUGCAGGACCAUCUUGAAGGUAACAACGUUUGAUUGUAUUCUGUUGUGUGUGUUUCCCCCGCCCCCCCGAACAGAGAGGGAUAUAAAGCAUAUGUAUGUUGAGGGUUCAUAGAGUAUUGCUGAUCUCAGAACAUUUCAUGCUAGCAAUUCGCUAAUAAUUUGCAGGGGUGUGUGUGUGUGUGUGUGUGUGUGUGUGUGUGUGUGUGUGUGUGAGAGAGAGAGAGAGAGAGAGAGAGAGAGAGAGAGAGAGAGAGAGAGUGUGUCUUCUUGAUAAGACCAGGAGACAAAAUGCUGAUCCACCCAACCUGCACUUUUGGGUCAGUGCAAUGAAAUGUAGAAAGCAAAGCAAUGUAAGAGGGAUUUGUCUCCUUCAUGCUGAAGGGAAGCUAACAUGCUAACAUUUAAGUUAUUUUGGUUGUUCUAAUAAAGGAAGA